rnacentral:rRNA from 1 species
UACGUAGGGGGCAAGCGUUGUCCGGAUUUAUUGGGCGUAAAGAGCGUGUAGGCGGCCUGAAAGGUCAGCUGUGAAAACUCGAGGCUCAACCUCGAGACGUCGGUUGAAACCAUCUGGCUAGAGUCCGGAAGAGGAGUGUGGAAUUCCCGGUGUAGCGGUGAAAUGCGCAGAUAUCGGGAAGAACACCCGUGGCGAAGGCGGCAAUCUGGGACGGUACUGACGCUGAGGAACGAAAGCGUGGGGAGCGAACAGG